CGCCAUCGAGUCCCAGCACCCAACUACCGGGUAGGAGAUAGAGUGUGGCUCUCCACAAGGAACCUGCCGCUCAAGGUUGAGAACAAGAAACUGGCACCUCGGUUUAUUGGGCCGUUCUCGAUCUCCAACGUGGUGAACCCGGUGGCGGUUCGUCUCCACUUGCCCUCAUCGAUGAAGGUCCACCCCACGUUCCAUGUCUCUCAGGUUAAACCUGUCAAGACCUCGAACCUUGCUCCUGCCGCCACAUCCCCACCGCCUACCCGGUUUGUGGAUGGCUCCCCAGCCUACACUGUUAAGCGCAUCCUGAGGUCUCGAAAGAGGGGCAGGGGUACCCAGUACCUAAUUGACUGGGAGGGCUAUGGGCCAGAGGAGCGUCAGUGGGUCCCAUCCCGAUUCAUCCUGGACAAGUCCCUCAUUAGGGAUUUCCACAGAGCCCACCCGGACCAGCCUAGGGCGUCUGGAAUCCGCCCUUGAGGGGGGGGCUCUGUAACGUUUCUGGCACUGGGGCUGCUAAUUGCAAUCAACGCACCUGCGCUGCCUCCACCUCUACCGGCUUAUAAGCCCUGCGCCUCGCAGCCUCCAGUGCCAGAACGUCUCGAGCCAACCGGUGAGAACUUCCAGCAAUUAUUAUCAAACUGCCUGCCUGUCUGUUGCCCGACCUGUCUUUGCCUUCAUCUCUGAGCCAGCCUAGCCCUCUCCUGGAUUCUGUCUGCCCGCCUGAGCCCUGCUGUGUCAGCCUCUGGACCCCGGAUUGCCCUCCUGUGUUUUUGACCCCGCUAGCCCGUGAGUACUGGAACCUGCCUGUCCCUUAAUCAAUCUGUGCUCUCUGGAAACUGGAUCUUGGAACUGGACUCGGACCCUUCUUUGGAUUUCCCCUUGGAUUUGUCGCCUGGACGUAUUGGCCUUCCCCGUGACCGAACUCAGACUGCCCCUGGACGACGCCCCCCGGAUUUCCCUGUCGCUCGGCUUCCGACACGCUGUGGAGCAAGGACUCCUAAAGAAGUCAUCUCCCCAUCAGGAGUUGUCGGCCCGUAAGCACGAGCAGCACGUCCCGAAAGCCUCCGCUUCCCUGUUUUUUCAAUAAAAUCGGCUCAAGAGCCA